UACGUAGGUGGCAAGCGUUGUCCGGAUUUACUGGGCGUAAAGAGCGCGCAGGCGGCUUGGUAAGUCGGAUGUGAAAACCCGAGGCUCAACCUCGGGCGUGCAUCCGAAACUGCUCGGCUAGAGGUAGGUAGGGGAGAUCGGAAUUCCUGGUGUAGCGGUGAAAUGCGCAGAUAUCAGGAGGAACACCGGUGGCGAAGGCGGAUCUCUGGGCCUUACCUGACGCUCAGGCGCGAAAGCUAGGGGAGCGAACUGG
rnacentral:rRNA from 1 species